CACUAAAUUAAAAAUUCAGUUAGUCCAGUACCAAAGCAUAGUGAGUUGCUUGCAAGUCACUGAGGUGAUCUCAGGUCUAAGGGACACUUAUACCUAUAUCCCAUCAGAGACAUUCUCGACAGUAGAAUGCUCUGGAGUUGGUCACGUUCAAUGAUGAUGUACCCUUACAUCUCAUCUGUAUGCCAUACCAGUGUCUCCAC
rnacentral:lncRNA from 1 species